AGCAGCCGCGGUAAUUCCAGCUCCAAUAGCGUAUAUUAAAGUUGUUGCAGUUAAAAAGCUCGUAGUUGAAUUUCGGGGUCAGCAAGUUGGUCGUGCCACUGGUAUGCACUGGCUUUACUGAUUCCUCCUUCUUGAAGAACUGUAAUGCUAUUAAUUUAGUGUUGCAGGGAAACAGGACUGUUACUUUGAAAAAUUAGAGUGUUUAAAGCAGGCUAACGCUUGAAUACAUUAGCAUGGAAUAAUGAAAUAGGACGUUUGAUCCUAUUUUGUUGGUUUCUAGGAUUGACGUAAUGAUUAAUAGGGAUAGUUGGGGGCAUUAGUAUUCAAUUGUCAGAGGUGAAAUUCUUGGAUUUAUUGAAGACUAACUACUGCGAAAGCAUUUGCCAAGGAUGUUUUCAUUAAUCAAGAACGAAAGUUAGGGGAUCGAAGACGAUCAGAUACCGUCGUAGUCUUAACCAUAAACUAUGCCGACUAGGGAUCGGAUGAUGUUAAUUUUUAUGACUCAUUCGGUC
rnacentral:rRNA from 1 species